CGGAGAGUUUGAUCCUGGCUCAGGAUGAACGCUGGCGGCGUGCUUAACACAUGCAAGUCGAACGGUGAAGCCAAGCUUGCUUGGUGGAUCAGUGGCGAACGGGUGAGUAACACGUGAGCAACCUGCCCUGGACUCUGGGAUAAGCGCUGGAAACGGCGUCUAAUACUGGAUAUGAGACGUGAUCGCAUGGUCGUGUUUGGAAAGAAUUUUCGGUCUGGGAUGGGCUCGCGGCCCAUGAGCUUGUUGGUGAGGUAAUGGCUCACCAAGGCAUCGACGGGUAGCCGACCUGAGAGGGUGAUCGGCCACACUGGGACUGAGACACGGCCCAGACUCCUACGGGAGGCAGCAGUGGGGAAUAUUGCACAAUGGACGGAAGCCUGAUGCAGCAACGCCGCGUGAGGGAUGACGGCCUUCGGGUUGUAAACCUCUUUUAGCAGGGAAGAAGCGAAAGUGACGGUACCUGCAGAAAAAGCGCCGGCUAACUACGUGCCAGCAGCCGCGGUAAUACGUAGGGCGCAAGCGUUAUCCGGAAUUAUUGGGCGUAAAGAGCUCGUAGGCGGUUUGUCGCGUCUGCUGUGAAAUCCCGAGGCUCAACCUCGGGCCUGCAGUGGGUACGGGCAGGCUAGAGUGCGGUAGGGGAGAUUGGAAUUCCUGGUGUAGCGGUGGAAUGCGCAGAUAUCAGGAGGAACACCGAUGGCGAAGGCAGAUCUCUGGGCCGUAACUGACGCUGAGGAGCGAAAGGGUGGGGAGCAAACAGGCUUAGAUACCCUGGUAGUCCACCCCGUAAACGUUGGGAACUAGUUGUGGGGACCAUUCCACGGUUUCCGUGACGCAGCUAACGCAUUAAGUUCCCCGCCUGGGGAGUACGGCCGCAAGGCUAAAACUCAAAGGAAUUGACGGGGACCCGCACAAGCGGCGGAGCAUGCGGAUUAAUUUGAUGCAACGCGAAGAACCUUACCAAGGCUUGACAUAUACGAGAACGGGCCAGAAAUGGUCAACUCUUUGGACACUCGUAAACAGGUGGUGCAUGGUUGUCGUCAGCUCGUGUCGUGAGAUGUUGGGUUAAGUCCCGCAACGAGCGCAACCCUCGUUCUAUGUUGCCAGCACGUAAUGGUGGGAACUCAUGGGAUACUGCCGGGGUCAACUUGGAGGAAGGUGGGGAUGACGUCAAAUCAUCAUGCCCCUUAUGUCUUGGGCUUCACGCAUGCUACAAUGGCCGG
rnacentral:rRNA from 1 species